GGGCACGUAGAUCAGCUGGAAGAUCGCUACCUUCGCAAGGUAGAGGCCGCGGGUCCGAAUCCCGCCGUGUCCA
rnacentral:tRNA from 3 species